AUUGAACGCUGGCGGCAGGCCUAACACAUGCAAGUCGAGCGAGCGGCGGAGGGGUGUGAAAUGUAUGGGGACUGCCCCUGAGAGAGGGAUAACAACAGGAAACGGUAGCUAAUAUCGCAUACGAUAGCAUUAUCCAUAUGGGAUUAGCUAGUAGGUGAGGUAAUGGCGCACCUAGGCGACGAUCCCUAGCUGGGCUGAGAGGAUGAUCAGCCACACUGGGACUGAGAAACGGCCCAGACUCCUACGGAGGCAGCAGUGGGGAAUAUUGCACAAUGGGCGCAAGCCUGAUGCAGCCAUGCCGCGUGUAUGAAGAAGGCCCUAGGGUUGUAAAGUACUUUCAGUCGGGAGGCGUUACCGGCAGAAGAAGCACCGGCUAACUCCGUGCCAGCAGCCGCGGUAAUAC
rnacentral:rRNA from 1 species